AUCCCAGAGGAGCCUGGUGGGCUAUAGUCCAGUGGGUCACAGAGAGUCGUACACAACUGAAGCGUCGUAGCACACACGCAUGCAAGAGUGACAUGAGAUAAAAUCUAUAUGGAUUAAAUCUCAAAGAGAUUUUAAAAUAAUUUUAAAUAUAAAAUGAAAUUCCAAGAGAUUAAAAACAUUGAGUCAAAGGUUUGUGGAAGUAUCCUUUUUUUGUUUGUUUGUUUGUUUUCUUAGUGGUAUAUAACAAAACAGGUGUCCAGUCAUUGAUAGUGUUUUCUGGUGAGUAGUAGUUACUCUUGAGCUCAUUUCACAGGUGAGACUAGAAAGAUAUGUAUUCCCGAAGAUGACACAGUUAGCUAGUGGCUGUGUAGCUGUGGGGUUGGAAUGAGUCAAAAAGUUGACUUAGAUAACAGUCAUGGGGUUUCUGCAAAGUGCCAGGCAAUGUCUGGGAAAGUCAGAAGGAAACUCGUGUGGUCUCUACUCUCCCAGAGCUUCUGGUCCUGGGAGCAGGGGGAGUGCCUCGGAAGAUGGAGAGGCAGGUAACUGUGAUGCUUCCUGAAGGGUCUGAUGGUAGCAAGAGAUUCAGCCCUGAAGCUGGGGCUCUGAGGCAGCACCCACGAGGAAUGGGCUCCCAGACUCUGGCCUGGAGAGGAAGGAGGGAGUAUUAACCCAUUGAGGAAUAUGGGGAGUAGGAGCGCUGUUUCACACAGCGGGACAGCAAGUACCAGCAAGCAUCAGCGCACAUAGCUGCUGAAUCUGCUGCCUGCAUCCUUUCCGUGAGGGGACCUUGUGGAGUUGCUGAUGCUGACUGGCUGGGGCAGUGCCCUGCGGGAGACAGCAGCAGCUCUCCUGGGGAGAAAGAAGAUUAACUUCCCCAGGAACUGAUGCUUUGGACUCGCUCUGCCUAAUUCUCACAGAAGUAGGGGGCUGGCAUUAAAAACUCCAAUCUCAAGGUGAGAAAAGCAAAGUUCCAAGUGCUAACCCGCUGUGCCCAAGGUCACACAGGUCAUAAGUGAUGGAGGUGAGAUGCGGACCCCAGAGGACUGGACUCAAAGUGAGUUUGUGUUAAACUUCAAAGUAGGUCACACAGCUCCAGGACGAGAGGAGAUGCAGGAUCCAUUUGACUCUGUCCCCGCCAUGCCCUGGUGUGUUGCUGGAGGGGAGGGAAACAGAGGCCCCACGGGUGAGCGGUGACCUUCCCCAGGUCACACAUGGCCAGUCAAGCUAGGAACCAAGGUGUCAAGGAGUGCCUUCUUCACUUACUCAUAUGUCCAUGACUUUCAUCAACUUGUGUUUAAGGGCCGUUCAAGCAGGACAAACCACCACUUUAAAGCAAUUACUCGGUGAUGAUCAGGAGGGGCCGGGAGAUUCUGUUUGCUUAUGUGUGUGAACCUGAAAUGCCUACUUUCUUAAUUAAGCUUUAACUCUGCCUUUUGCCUCAAGCUUUUCAUUUUUUCCCCCCUCUUUAACAAGUCUCAGCCUUUCUCCAUCACUGAAGGCCUUGGGCUUUGCCUGUUUCAUUUCUCUCUUCUGAGAAGCAUCUUCUCCUGUCCCACUACAAGGAUACCUCCCCUUUCUAGCCCCAGUUCCCAGCUGCUCUUAAUUUCAUGAUUAUCAGCCAUGGGCAGUCUUUCUUGAUGACUCAGAAGCAAGGGAUGCAGGGAAUUCUAUACCUGGGCUCCUCCUUCCCACCCAGCUCCCCUCAGUGCCACUCACCCUUUCUCAAGAGCCCAUCCGAGGUCUCGAGCAGCCUUCCCUGAUCAGCACCAAGUCUGUUUGAGGUGUUCCAGGUCUGGCCCUCAUGGCUCUGGUGACUUUGUGUUUUUGUCUUUGAAUCUCCAGCAACUGGCAAUGCAUCUGGUAUGCAGGAGAUGCUUGAUAGAUGCUUCUUGAAUGAAUGAAUGCGUGAAGGAAUGAAUGGACAAUCUAGGCCAGUGUUCAGCCUUCAGGGGCCUGUUCUGGAAUUCUCAGAUCUGGAAUUGGGAGGCCUGAGGAUUUCCUUCUCUCCAUAUUGCUCCCCUACUUUCUUGGAGAGAUGACAAGACCCACAGAGUAUUCAGACUAAUGGUCUCCACUCAUCGCAGUUGGCAUGAGCAUCACAUGACAUCCUGCAGACAGCUUGAUGACCGCUGCCACACUGACCCUCACAAGCAUUCUCUGUGUUCAUUUAGGGCCUUCCCAGCAUGAAAAAAGCUGAGCACCAAAGAAUUGAUGCUUUCAAGCUGUGGUGCUGGAGAAGACUCUUGAGAGUCCUUUGGAUAGCAAGGAGAUGAAACUAGUCAAUCCUAAAGGAAAUCAAC